rnacentral:lncRNA from 1 species
GGUCACUGGGCCAACAGUGAAAUCAAGAUGGAAAUUAAAAAGUUAUUUGAACUGAAUGAUAAUAGUGUUACAACCUAUCACAACCUCUGGGAUACAGCAAAGUGAUACCAGGAGGAAAGUUCAUAGCAUUCAUUAAAUGUCCACAUCAAAAAGAUUGAAAGAGCACAAAUAGACAGACAAUCUCAAGUCACACCUCAAGGAGCUAGAGAAACAGUAACAAACCAAACCCAAACCCAGCAGAAAAGAAAUAACCAAGAUCAGAGCAGAACUAAAUGAAAUUGAAACAAAAAAAUACAAAAGAUAAAUUUUAAAAAGCUGUUUCUUUGAAAAAUAAUAUUGAUAGACCAUUGACAAGAUUAACCAUGAAAAGAAGACGGACGAUCCAAAUAAGCUCAAUUAGAAAUGAAAUGGGAAGAAUUACAACCAAUACCACAAAAAUACAAAAGAUCAUUCAAGGCUACUAUGAACAAGUUUUUGUGCAUAAACUAGGAAACCUAGAGGAGAUGGAUAAAUUCUUGGAAAGAUACACCUGGCCUAGAUUAAACCAGGAAGUAAUAGAAACUCUGAAGAGACCAAUAACAGCCCUGGACCAGACGGAUUCACAGCUGAAUUCUAUGAAACAUUCAAAGAAGAAUUGGUACCAAUCCUAUCGACACUAUUCCAAAUGAUAGAGAAAGAGAGAAUCUUCCUUAAGUCAUUCUAUGAAGCCAGUGUCACCCUAAUACCAAACCAGGAAAGGACAUAACAAAAAAAGAAAACUACAGACCAGUAUCUCUGAUGAACAUAGAUACAAAAAUUCUCAAAAAAAUACUAGUGACGUGAAUCCAACAGUAUAUCCAAAAGAUAAUCCACCAUGAAAAGUGGGUUUCAUACCAGGGACGCAGGGAAGGUUUAACAUAUACAAGUCAAUAAAUGUGAGACCAGUCAUAAACAGAAUUAAAAACAAAAAUCACAUGAUCAUGUCAAUAGAUGCAGAAAAAGCAUUUGACAAAAUCUAGCAUGCUUUCUGAUUAAAACCCUCAGCAAAAUCGGCAUAAAAGGGAUAUACCUUAAGGUAAUAAAAGCCAUUGACAACAAACCCACAGCCAACAUAAUACUGAAUGGGGAAAUUUGAAAGCCUUCCCCUGAGAAAUGGAACAAGACAAGGGUGCCCACUUUCACCACUUUUAUUCAAUACAGUACUGCAAGUCUUAGAGCAAUCGGAUAAGAGAAAGAAAUAAAGGGCAUCCAAACCAGUAAAGAGGAAGUCAAACUGCUACUGUUUGCUGAUGACAUGAUCGUAUACAUAGAAAACCCUAAAGACUCAUCCAUAAAGCUCCUAGAACUGGUAAAUGAAUUCAGCAAAGUUUCAGGAUGUACACAAAUCAGUAGCCCUGCUAUAUACCAACAGUGACCAAGCUGAGAAUCAAAUCAAGAACUCAACCCCUUUUACAAUAGCUGCAAAAAAAAUUUAAAUACUUUAGAAUAUUCCUAACAAAGGAGGUGAAAUACUUCUACAAGGAAAACUACAAAACACUGCUGAAAAAAUCAUAGAUGACACAAACAAAUGGAAACACAUCUCCUGCUCAUGAAUGGGUAGAAUCAAUAUUGUGAAAAUGAACAUACUGCCACAAGCAAUCUGCAAAUUUAUUGAAAUUCCCAUCAAAAUAGCACUGUCAUUCUUCACAGAACUAGUAAAAACAAUCUAAAAUGCAUAUGGAACCAAAAAGUCCCCACAUAGCAAAAGCAAGACUAAGGGAAAAGAACAAACCUGGAAGCAUUACAUUACCCAACUUCAAAUUAUACUAUAAUGCUAUAGUCACUAAAACAGCAUGGUACUCGUAUAAAAACAGGCUUGUAGACCAAUGGAACAGAAUAGAGAACUCAGAAAUAAACCCAGAUACUUACAGCCAACUGAUCUUUGACAAAGCAAACAAAAACGUAAAGUGGGGAAAGGACACCCUAUUCAACAAAUGGUGCUGGGAUGGUUGGCAAGCCACAUGUAGAAGAAUGAAACAGGAUCCUCAUCUCUUAACUUACACAAAAAUCAACUCAAGCUGGAUCAAAGACUUAUAUCAAAUACCUGAAAUCAUAAAAACUCUAGAAGAUAACAUUGGAAAAACCCUUCUAGACAUUGGUUCAGGCAGAGACUUAUGACCAAAAACCCAAAAGCAAAUGCAACAAAAACAACGAUAAAUAGAUGAGACUUAAUUAAACUAAAAAGCUUCUGCACAGCAAGAGAAAUAAUUAGCAGAUUAAGCAGACAACCCACAGAGUGGGAGAAAAUCUUGGCAAUCUAUACAUCUGACAAAGGACUAAUAUCAAUAAUCUACAAAGAACUCAAACAAAUCAGCAAGAGAAAAACAAACAAUCCCAUUCAAAAGUGGGCUAAGGAUGUGAGUAGGCAAUUCUCAAAUGAAAAUAAACAAAUGGCCAACAAACAUAUGAAAAAAUGCUCAAUAUCGCUAAUGAUCAGGGAAAUGCAAAUCAAAACCACAAUGUGAUGCCUUCCUACUACUUCAAGAAUGGCCAUAAUCAAAAAAUCAAAAAAUAAUACUUGUUGGUGUGGAUACAGUAAACAGGGAACACUUUGACACCGUUGGUUGGAAUGUAAACUAGUGCAACCACUAUGGAAAAAAGUGAGGGGAUUCCUUAAAGAACUAAAAGAAAAUCUACCAUUUGAUCCGGCAAUUCCAUUACUUGGUAUCUACCCAGAGGAAAAGAAGUCAUUAUAAGAAAGAGAUACUUGCACACGCAUGUUUAUAGUAGCACAAUUCACAAUUGCAAGAAUAUAGAGUCAGCCCAAAUGCCCACCGAUCAUUGACUAGAUAAAACACAUACACACACAAACACUAUGGAAUACUACUCAGCCAUAAAAAGGAACUAAAUAAUGGCACUGGCAGCAAGAUGGGUGGAAUUGGAGACCAUUAUUCUAAGUGAAGUAACUCAGGAAUGAAAAACCAAAUAUCAUAUUUUCUCACUCAUAAGUAGGAGAUGAGCUAUGAGGACACAAAGGCAAAAGAAUGAUACAAUGGACUUUGAGGAUUCAGUGAUAAGGGUGGGAGGGAGGUCAGGGAUAAAACCUAGUCACUAUGUACAGUGUACAUUGCUCAAGUUAUGGGUGCACCAAAAUCUCAGAAAUCACCACCAAAGAACUUAUUCAUGUGACCAAACACCACCUGUUCCCCCAAAACCUAUUGAAAUAGAAAAAAUAAAUAAAUAAAAGUAAAAAACCUGUUAUCAAUCCCAAAAUAAAAUUAUCAGUUACCCCCCAAAAAGGAUUUAUCAAGAAAGAUGAGAUGGAAUUGAAAGGUAUAUAUGCAAUCAACAGUAUGGACAAAUAAUAUUGAAUACAUUUUUUCCCUUUCAUACACCCUUUUAUUCAUUUUUCUGUUUAAUCAUCUCUCGCAUAUGGAGACCUAGCAUUUAAGGGAAUUAUAGCCACUACCACCUUGUUUUCAAGGCCAUAAUGAAUUUGGAAAUGUGGUAUCCACUUAUGAGCUUCCAUCACAUUUUGAGCAUAUGGCUCCAUGAAAUACCGAAAGCACUUUGGGAUAAACUCCAUACAGUCAGGAGAUCUUUCUUAAUACCAUCUGGCAACUACUCUGUGCUUACUCUUUGUCCCACCUUCUAAACGUUUAGAUGGGCAGGUGGGAAGAGCAGUUGCCACAUUAUUGAAAGCCAGUGUUCUAGUAUCAGAGGGCCAUAGCAGGCCCUCUGGAGCAACAUCUGGAAUGUCCACAGGUAACCCUGUCAAUCUCUGGGGAUCACAGGGCAUCACUUUCCUCUACUUCUCUCUCUAUGUGUGUCUCUGCAAGCCAACCUGAUUCUAUAUUACAUUUUCACAAAGUACCAUAUUCUAAAUUUAGCUUAUCCAGGGAGAUGAUAUACUUGAUUCACUUUGGGGGAGUGAUCCUCUGCCUGGUAGGCAGAAUAAUGGCCCUCAAAGAAGUCCGCUCCCAAUCCCUGGAAUCUAGAAAUAUGUUGCUUUACAGGGCAAAAAUGGAUUUUGUAGAUAUGAUUCAGUUAAAGGUCUUGGGAUGGGAAGAUUAGCUUGGAUUAUCCAGGUGAACCUAAUCUAAUCUUAUGGCUUCUUAAAAUUGAUGAGCUUUUCCAGGCUGAGAUCAAAGACGGAGAUGUGCCUACCCGCAGAUCCUAGAUGGCCAUGUUUGCAACAGAGGUAAUGAUGAGCAGUGCGAAGAUGUGACUCCAAAGCCUGGAGAAGGACAGACCAGCAUCCCUGCAAGAGAUCCAACUGUCUUCUUUUCCGCAGAGGUCCAUAAUUUACAUGGGCCUGACAAAGAAUACUGUAACUUGCAGAAAUUAUCUUCAGUUCAAAUCCUUCAUUUUGGGGGUUAAAUAACUUGCCCAAGAUGUCGAGGGAGCGGAAAUACUUGCUGGUCUUGCAGCGGCUGUGGAGCCUGGAAUCCUGCCAAGAAGAGCAUGUGUGAGAGAUCAAAAUGUUUGCUUACAUUCCUCCUGUGAAGGGAGUUGGGAAAUAACCUAAGAAGCCCAAUCCAAAAACAAAGAUGUACCAUCCAGUCUUCUCUGUGAGAACCAAACUACAAACCAUCUGAAUGUUCCAAAAGUGUUUUGAUGAUGUAUUGAUGUAUUUUAAAUUAUCCUGAAAAUGUUCUUGGCAGAUGCUUAAACAUGUAAUUACUGAGAUGAUGUAGAAAUACCAAGUGUUUAUUAAAACAAUACAGAGUAAUACAAAUGGUAUGUUUGUCGCAAUAUAAAAGUAUCUAAAAAUUAAAGAGUUCUUUAAUGGUGGAGAUUGUUUUCCUUUUUGAAGUUAAAAUAUAAAUUUUUGUAAAAAGCACAAAUUAUUACUAUUUAUAGCUAACAUUUAUGGAGUGCUGAC